rnacentral:rRNA from 1 species
UAGAGUUUGAUCCUGGCUCAGGAUGAGCGCUGGCGGCGUGCCUAAUACAUGCAAGUCGAGCGGUAAGGCCUCUUCGGAGGUACACGAGCGGCGGACGGCUGAGUAACACGUAGGAACGUACCCCAAAGUGAGGGAUAACUGCUCGAAAGAGUAGCUAAUACCGCAUGUGAUCCACGGAUUAAAGCUUUAUGCGCUUUGGGAACGGCCUGCGUUCGAUUAGCUUGUUGGUAGUGUAAUGGACUACCAAGGCGACGAUCGAUAGCUGGUCUGAGAGGAUGAUCAGCCAGACUGGGACUGAGACACGGCCCAGACUCCUACGGGAGGCAGCAGUAGGGAAUUUUCCACAAUGGGCGAAAGCCUGAUGGAGCAACGCCGCGUGCAGGAUGAAUGCCUUAGGGUUGUAAACUGCUUUUAUUAGUGACGAUUAUGACGGUAACUAAUGAAUAAGGACCUGCUAACUACGUGCCAGCAGCCGCGGUCAUACGUAGGGUCCAAGCGUUAUCCGGAAUUACUGGGCGUAAAGAGUUGCGUAGGUGGCAUAGUAAGUAGAUAGUGAAAGCGUGUGGCUCAACCAUACAUCCAUUAUCUAAACUGCUAAGCUUGAAGAUGAGAGAGGUAGAUGGAAUUCCUGAUGUAGGGGUAAUAUCCGUAGAUAUUAGGAGGAACACCGAUGGCGUAGGCAGUCUACUGGCUCAUUCUUGACACUAAGGCACGAAAGCGUGGGGAGCAAACAGGAUUAGAUACCCUGGUAGUCCACGCCGUAACUAUGGAUGCUAGCUGUAAGCCGUAUCGACCCGGCUUGUAGCGAAGCUAACGCGUUAAGCAUCCCGCCUGUGGAGUACGGUCGCAAGACUAAAACAUAAAGGGAAUUGACGGGGGA